AUUGAACGCUGGCGGCAGGCCUAACACAUGCAAGUCGAACGAGUGGCGGACGGGUGAGUAAUGUCUGGGAAACUGCCUGAUGGAGGGGGAUAACUACUGGAAACGGUAGCUAAUACCGCAUACCAUCAGAUGUGCCCAGAUGGGAUUAGCUUGUUGGGGGGGUAACGGCUCACCAAGGCGACGAGCCCUAGCUGGUCUGAGAGGAUGACCAGCCACACUGGAACUGAGACACGGUCCAGACUAAUACGGGAGGCCGCAGUGGGGAAGAUUGCACUAUGGGGGAAAGCCUGAUGCACGCAUGCCGGGUGUAUGAAGAAGGCCUUCGGGUUGUAAAGUACUUUAAGCGGGGAGGCGUUACCCGCAGAAGAGGCACCGGCUAACUCCGUGCCAGCCGCCGCGGUAAUUC
rnacentral:rRNA from 1 species